CUUGUAGCAUGAGUGUUUAUUGAGACACCUGCCCUGUGCAUGCCACCAGUGUGGCUCCCUUCUGGGCAACUGUCAGGCAGCCUCUCUCUGCUGAUCACCUAGGAGAAUGGCAGACCCUAUGAGACUGGGCGCUCUGCUGCUCCUGGUCGGCACUGCGCUUUGUGCACCUCUGGGUUCCGCCGUUGGUGAGUGGGUUCAUGGUGGUUCUUCAAAGCGGGAGAUGCCAUGCGAAUCCAAGGAGCCUCUACCCAGCUUGGCGGGCUCUGGAAUUGCGGGGAGAAGUGCGGGCCCAGACGCAGCAAAUCUGCCACAAAUCUCAACUCCUCUUUUCAGGGCAUACCCCACCACCUCCUCCCGCAUCUGCAUCCGUGAUGCACCUUGCUCCCCUCACUCCCCUCACAGCCUUGCUCUUCCUUUCCAACAGCCUGGUUCUUCUGACGCCCCUGAGUCCUAGCUCUGUCUCCUGCUUUUAUCUUUGAGAGAGAUUCAACUCCCUUAGAGGUCUGCCUUUCAUGGGAGCACUUUAUCAAAAUUGAUAGAUUUUGAGACAGUUUCCAGCCCCCCACCCCCAAGCCCUGUCCUCUUCCUGGAGUCAGCAGCGUGCUCCCACGGAGCGCUCAGUAUCUGGAGUUAGGGGUCUUCCUCUCUCCUUUCUCUUGCUAUGGGCACUGUGGUUUCUCUAGUCAGACUGAGGGAGGUAGAAGCUGAGGAUUUCUGGGCCAAGAGAUUCUUCCUGUGACUUCUCUCAUCUCCACCCUCAAGGUGCCCUGCUUUCCUGCACCCUGGGGGGCGGGGUUUUCUCCCUCCUGCACCCUGCUUUACCCUAAUAGGAACUCCAUUGUUCCCACAUCUCUCCUUGCCUCCUCAGCUGCCUGUCUCACACCCCUCACCCAGUCUGGUUGCCCUCCUCCUCCCUGCUCUCCCUUCCAGUCAGUAGUUCUCUGAUUCAUUUUCUAAGAUGUAUCUGAGCAUGACUUCUCUCCCUCAGCAGGCAGGCCCUUCCUCCUUCCCUGUGUGUCAUUCAUUGUCCACAAGGAGCAAUGCUGCUGUAAAAACCAGUUGCCCUCCUUCGCAGACCCAACCUUUGCUUUUUAAAACAAGCAAAAAAGUUUUUAGUUAGACUGUUUUUCUCAAGUUUCCUCCUCCUCCUCCUCCUCCUCAUUUGGUGUUGAACAACUUAUUUUAAUGAAUUUGUCUUUUAAUACAAGUGUAAAAAAAGAUCCCUACCAUUUUAACUACAGUUAAAUCUAAAUUUUAAAACUAACCAAUAGUUAAUAACAAGUUAAUUUUUAAGUUUUUAACUAUAAGGAUAUCAAAUAUAAUACAGAAUUCAAUUCAAUGCUAUUACAAUAUUAAAAUAAACUUCUUAUCAUUCCAAGAGUAUCAAAUUGCUCCUUCUAUACACAGACAAAAAAAUCAUUUCUCUUCAGCAAGUAUAGUACCUGCUGGUGUUUACAGUUGUUAAAAGUUAAAAGCAGAGAACUUUCAACUUGAAUAUGAUUUGAGUACUUAAGCCAUCUAAAAGUUGUACUUGAUACAGGGAGUAGGCUCAUAGUCUUGGCAUCUGAAAUCAUGUCACAGAGUUUGAAUGUUAGACGUGUACUUUUGAACCACAAGAUAAAGAAACUCCAGCAUCAUUUAGUACCUUUUCUGGUUUGUUUUUUAUUUGCCAAUAAGAAAUUAGAUUUAAUGUUAUCAUUCUUCAAUCAAAUAAGAUGACCAUGAGAUUUCUGUUAAUCUGUUUCUUAGCUGAUUACUAUCAGUUGUACACAGAUAGUUCUCAUCAGAGCUGAGCAUUUUCACAUGAAGCUAAUCAGUUUUUGCUUAAAAUAAAAUUAAUAAUACAUAUACAUGUAGAUUAAAACUAAACAUAACCAUUUGUAAUCUAACAUGGGACAUUUGAACAAAAAAAAAACUGAGAAAGCCACUAGAAAGGAGACAUGGAAGAAAAAAAAAAUAAAUGGAAAUUGUCAGAUCAGGCAAGGCAAGUAGCAACCAAAGGAGGCAGAUUUAAAAAGGGGUGCCAAACGAGGCUUUAUUGAGAUGUCACUCCCUGGCGGAACUCGAUCAGAC
rnacentral:lncRNA from 1 species